rnacentral:rRNA from 1 species
CCUACGGGAGGCUGCAGUGGGGAAUUUUGCACAAUGGGCGAAAGCCUGAUGCAGCAACGCCGCGUGUGUGAUGAAGGUCUUCGGAUCGUAAAGCACUUUCGACCGGGAAGAACACCUGUUGGCUAACAUCCAACAGCUUGACGGUACCGGGAGAAGAAGCACCGGCUAACUCUGUGCCAGCAGCCGCGGUAAUACAGAGGGUGCAAGCGUUGUUCGGAAUUAUUGGGCGUAAAGCGCGUGUAGGCGGUCUUGCAAGUCGGGUGUGAAAGCCCUCA